UUCUUCUAGCCAUACCCUGAAAUAUGUGCUCAAAAAACAGGUACUGAUUGAAUUACUGAAUUGUAUAAAAUUUGUAGUCACUUACCUGCAGAGAGGCAGAAAGUUAAUCCCCAUAUCUUUUUAGAGUGGAAUUUGGUUUGGAACACUUAUGUAAUGCUCUGCUGAAUGAAAGGAAGGAGGAGGGGAGUUAUUAUCUGACUUCCUUUCAGGAAGGUCUGAAAUCACUUUAUUACUUUUUUUUUUUAUCAAACAUGUAUAAAGGCUCUGCUUAAGAAUAAACCAUUCCCUUGCCUUAUUCCUCUGACUGAAAAUACUUAUUGACUUUUCUCUUUCCUUCCUUUCUUUCUAAGUUUGUCCUAAUGGGAGUGAAAUCACAAGGAGCUUCUGGACUCUGCCCAGCAUUUGAAGGAGGCUAUUGUUCUGGCCCUGAGUGUGCCUAAACCAUUUUUAAAGAUAAACUACUAUGAUGUCAAAAGCUAAACUACCAUAUCAUGGAAUUCUGGAUUCCAAUAUUGCAGAGGUAGAAAUUCACAAAUUCUUCAAACAACAUUUCUGUUGUUGUAGAUGAUGUGCUCUUGGUUCUACUCAUUUCACUUCAUAAUUUCAGGUAGGUUUUUCUAAAACCAUGUUUUUCUAAAAUUAAUCUGUUCAUUUCUUAUGGUAUAGCAGUAUUCCAUUAUGAUCAUAUGUCAAAACCUGUUUAGCCAUUCCCCAAGUGAUGGGCAUCCCUUCAAUUUCCUGUGCUUUACCACCACAAAAUGAGUUCCUAUUAAUAUUUUAGAACAUAUGGGUUCUUUCCUUUUUCCUAAGAUAACCUUAGGAAAUAAAUCUAAAUCAUCCAUACA
rnacentral:lncRNA from 1 species